UAAGUAUUCAUUGAGAGGUCUACCUUGACACUCUUGAGUACCAAAAUCCAACUUCCCUAAACUUUUAAAUAAAUAAAAUACUAAUAGUACCCCGCAGAAAUAUAAUACUGCGAGUGAACUUGAGGCGAGGAUGAGCCAUUUUCCUCCUUAUAUUAUCCAAUCCAUCCCGAAAACCAACUCUGUAUAAUUCGGAACCACUCAUCGCCAAACCAUUAAAAAUCGCUCUGCUUUUGUGUUGGCCAAGAUUUGUCAGGGGAAACAAAUGGGAGAAGCAAGAGAAGGAUGACAUAAUAUUACUCAAGAUUGUACCUCCUGUGAACCAGAUUUAUGCUAAAUGGCUUGCUAGAGACCUUGUAAGAAUUCACGGCUUUACUCCAAAACGUACUCGUGCAGUGCAGCCGCCCAAUCAUUAUGUAGAACAUAUGAAGUUGAAUGGAUGGUUGGAUGUGGACUUGAAUGAUCCUGAUCUUGCUCAUUUGUUCGAGUAGAUAAUUUCUAUAUGCCAUAUAGACAAUUAUUGUGACUUUGUAGCUGCACUAUGAUUACAUUAAAGUGUUCAGAGGGCGAAAAAAAUGAGUCACAUUGUUGCUUUGGGUUGGCUAUAAAAUUCCUGUAGAUGGUUGUAUUCUGAAACCCUAGUGUUGAUCACCACUCAGCAGUGGGUACAUAAACAUGCUAUAUGUUAUACAAUAGAUUUUUUUGUUCAAUCAUGUUCUAUUGUUGUUAA